CCUACUGGUGGCUGCAGUGAGGAAUAUUGGUCAAUGGGCGCGAGCCUGAACCAGCCAAGUAGCGUGAAGGAUGACUGCCCUACGGGUUAUAAACUUCUUUUAUAAAGGAAUAAAGUGAGGCACGUGUGCCUUUUUGUAUGUACUUUAUGAAUAAGGAUCGGCUAACUCCGUGCCAGCAGCCGCGGUAAUACGGAGGAUCAGAUCGUUAUCCGGAUUUAUUGGGUUUAAAGGGAGCGUAGAUGGGUUGUUAAGUCAGUUGUGAAAGUUUGCGGCUCAACCGUAAAAUUGCAAUUGAUACUGGCAGCCUUGAGUACAGUUGAGGUAGGCGAAAUUCGUGGUGUAGCGGUGAAAUGCUUAGAUAUCACGAAGAACUCCGAUUGCGAAGGCAGCUUACUAAACUGCCACUGACAUUGAUGCUCGAAAGUGUGGGUAUCAAACAGGAUUAGAUACCCUGGUAGUC
rnacentral:rRNA from 1 species